rnacentral:tRNA from 1 species
GGAGAGGUGACCGAGUUGGUCUAAGGUGCUCGCCUGCUAAGCGAGUGUCCCGCCUAAUAGCGGGACCAAGGGUUCAAAUCCCUUCCUCUCCG